rnacentral:rRNA from 1 species
GCAGUCGAGGGGUAUAGGUUUUCGGACCUAGAGACCGGCGCACGGGUGCGUAACGCGUAUGCAAUCUACCUUUUACAGAGGGAUAGCCCAGAGAAAUUUGGAUUAAUACCUCAUAGUAUAAUGACUCGGCAUCGAGAUAUUAUUAAAGUCACAACGGUAAAAGAUGAGCAUGCGUCCCAUUAGCUAGUUGGUAAGGUAACGGCUUACCAAGGCUACGAUGGGUAGGGGUCCUGAGAGGGAGAUCCCCCACACUGGUACUGAGACACGGACCAGACUCCUACGGGAGGCAGCAGUGAGGAAUAUUGGUCAAUGGGCGCAAGCCUGAACCAGCCAUGCCGCGUGCAGGAUGACGGUCCUAUGGAUUGUAAACUGCUUUUGUACAGGAAGAAACAUCUCUACGUGUAGAGACUUGACGGUACUGUAAGAAUAAGGAUCGGCUAACUCCGUGCCAGCAGCCGCGGUAAUACGGAGGAUCCAAGCGUUAUCCGGAAUCAUUGGGUUUAAAGGGUCCGUAGGCGGCUUAGUAAGUCAGUGGUGAAAGCCCAUCGCUCAACGGUGGAACGGCCAUUGAUACUGCUAGACUUGAAUUGUUGGGAAGUAACUAGAAUAUGUAGUGUAGCGGUGAAAUGCUUAGAGAUUACAUGGAAUACCAAUUGCGAAGGCAGGUUACUACCAACACAUUGACGCUGAUGGACGAAAGCGUGGGGAGCGAACAGGAUUAGAUACCCUGGUAGUCCACGCCGUAAACGAUGGAUACUAGCUGUUCGGAGCAAUCUGAGUGGCUAAGCGAAAGUGAUAAGUAUCCCACCUGGGGAGUACGUUCGCAAGAAU